rnacentral:misc_RNA from 1 species
UUUCCGUAGGUGAACCUGCGGAAGGAUCAUUAACAAAAAAAAAAAUUACCCACCUUUUUUAUCGAUGGACAAAAAGGAGAACCUAUUCUUUUUUUUUUUUCACCCGUUAAAAAAAGCUCCGUCUUAUUUUGAAUCCCUUAACCUCCUUUAAAAAAAAUUUUUAUUUUUUUAUUAAUAGAGUUUUUUUAAUAACCCUUCUAUCAUAUUUAAUAAUUAAAAUUUUAUUUUUUUUUUUUUUUUAAAAGGAAAAUAAUUUAAAAAAAAAAAAAAAAAAAAAAAUUACUGAAUUUAUUUGGCAUACAUGAAAAUGGAUCUUUGUUGUUUGUUUUCAUCAAUACGUUUAAAAAGCACACUUGUAUAUUCUAGUUCGUUACCGAUAAUUAAAAAAAAAUUUUAUGUUAUUUUAAUUGUUGCUAUUUAAGACCCCCUUUAUCUUAAUUUAUAGUUUAAAUUCUGUUUUUAUUUUUUAUUGUAAAAGAUAAAAAAUUAUAAAACAAAUCAAAAAAAAUAAACCGAGAUACAACUUUUAACAACGGAUAUCUUGGUUCUC